rnacentral:rRNA from 1 species
UGGGGAAUAUUGCACAAUGGGGGAAACCCUGAUGCAGCGACGCCGCGUGAAGGAAGAAGUAUUUCGGUAUGUAAAGCUCUAUCAGCAGGGAAGAAGACGACGGUACCUGACUAAGAAGCCCCGGCUAACUACGUGCCAGCAGCCGCGGUAAUACGUAGGGGGCAAGCGUUAUCCGGAUUUACUGGGUGUAAAGGGAGCGUAGACGGUUCAGCAAGUCUGAAGUGAAAGGCGGGGGCUCAACCCCCGGACUGCUUUGGAAACUGUCGGACUAGAGUACCGGAGGGGUAAGCGGAAUUCCUGGUGUAGCGGUGAAAUGCGUAGAUAUCAGGAGGAACACCGGUGGCGAAGGCGGCUUACUGGACGGCAACUGACGUUGAGGCUCGAAAGCGUGGGGAGCAAACAGGAUUAGAUACCCUGGUAGU